GCUUUCGGAGCUAACGCGUUAAGUAGACCGCCUGGGGAGUACGGUCGCAAGAUUAAAACUCAAAUGAAUUGACGGGGGCCCGCACAAGCGGUGGAGCAUGUGGUUUAAUUCGAUGCAACGCGAAGAACCUUACCUACUCUUGACAUCCAGAGAAGUGACCAGAGAUGGUUUCGUGCCUUCGGGAACUCUGAGACAGGUGCUGCAUGGCUGUCGUCAGCUCGUGUUGUGAAAUGUUGGGUUAAGUCCCGCAACGAGCGCAACCCUUAUCCUUGUUUGCCAGCACGUAAUGGUGGGAACUCCAGGGAGACUGCCGGUGAUAAACCGGAGGAAGGUGGGGACGACGUCAAGUCAUCAUGGCCCUUACGAGUAGGGCUACACACGUGCUACAAUGGCGUAUACAGAGGGCUGCCAACCAGCGAUGGUGAGCGAAUCCCACAAAGUACGUCGUAGUCCGGAUCGGAGUCUGCAACUCGACUCCGUGAAGUCGGAAUCGCUAGUAAUCGUGAAUCAGAAUGUCACGGUGAAUACGUUCCCGGGCCUUGUACACACCGCCCGUCACACCAUGGGAGUGGGCUGCACCAGAAGUAGAUAGCUUAACCUUCGGGAGGGCGUUUACCACGGUGUGGUUCAUGACUGGGGUGAAGUCGUAACAAGGUAGCCCUAGGGGAACCUGGGGCUGGAUCACCUCCUUACCUAA
rnacentral:rRNA from 1 species